AUCGUCUCCAUUACAGUCGCGACAGUGCAUGUGCCGACGCCGCCCAAACAGUUUGCGCACACAAUAUGAAUACCAUCCGAUUUUUUUUCACCGCCACCGUAGCGUUUCUCGUUGUCGCGAUCGGCGGCAGAGGCGCGUCUUGCGUUGAUAAUUUCGUGCGGGGCUAUAAGUGCUGCCCGUGGGACCGGCUGUACGAUCCGGAAAUGAGGUUCUGCAGACCGCACGGGACGGACGUUGAAGUGUACCUCCAGAGGUUCACGAAUCGACUGCGGCACGGAUUUCGGGUGCCACACAAUGAUUUGUUGGAUAUGACCUAUUAUCUGCCGCCAUAUUGCAACGACACGGAUGUGCUAGUCGACGUGCCCGCCGUGGAGGUGCGUGGGCUGAUGGAGGCGCACCCGUCGCCCACCGAGUUUCCGCCCGACCACUGCUUCGACCUGACGCCGUCCAAUGAGCUGGUGGCCCGGGGGUGCCGGCCGCACGACCAAUACUGCGGCCGGGCCAAUUACACGUGCGUCAACAAGUGCUGCGGCGUCGGAAGUAUGUACGUCGAAGACCCCAACGAAAAGGGCCCCCGGACGUGCAAAUAUAGCGAGAUGCCAUUCACGUUGUCUGCGUAUGAAGCAGACGCAUGCGGAAGUCUGGUGAGCCUGUCGAACAACACGGUGUUGCCGUUCCACGGCGGACUCUCGUGUAACACUACCGAUCUAAUGGGCAACAGGUUCAUGUUGACCACGGAUGGCAACCUUCACCUUAUGUCUGAAUUCGACGAAUGGAUCAUACCAGACACGGAUUACUGCGUCGAGUAUUACGCCUUUGACAUGCCACUGGAGGCCAACGAUCUAAAGGCACACGUGUGCACGAAUGCCAAACAACCACCGGUCGGUUUCGUCCUUUUGGUUAUUUUUACUGCGUCUAUCGUGUGCCUGGUGCUCACGCUGAUCGUAUACGCCACAGUGCCUUACCUCCGGAACGCCCACGGCUACUACGUUAUGUUCUACAUGGCCUGCCACCUAGUGUACUUCGUCUGCAGAAUGAUCAAGCUGACGAUAAAUGACGACAUAGACAGCCCGUUGUGCAUUCCAUUCGGUUAUUUAUCUUUAUUUACAACUAUAGCCACAUGUUGCUGGUUAAACGUAAUAUGCUUCGAUAUUUACUGGAUGUUAAGGUACAACAAUUCAACAAACAGAAAUACAUCUAAAUCAGUACGUACCAUUAUGUACCAUAUUUACUGUUGGGGAUUUUCAACUACUAUCGUAUCUACUGGUUAUUUAUUUCAACAUUCACAAAACGAAAAGCUACGGAAAUUAGCACCGGAUAUUGGAAAAUAUAAAUGCGAUUUUUACACAUACAAUCACUACGGAACUUUUAUCUUCUACUGGCUACCCACCUGUGGUAUGCUGACUGCCAAUUUAAUUUUGUUCUUACUAAUUAAUGGUAUUCAGUGUCCAAAAAUUAAACCAGAACUCAACAAGAUCAAACGAACCGAUUCAAAAACAGAAAUUUGUCUUGUUUACAAAGAGAGGUACAACAAUUCAACAAACAGAAAUACAUCAAAACCAGUACGUACUAUUAUGUACCAUAUUUACUGUUGGGGAUUUUCAAGUAUUAUCAUAUCUACUGGUUAUUUAUUUCAACAUUCAUAAAACGAAACGCUAUGGGAAUUAGCACCCGAUAUUGGAAUAUAUAAAUGCAAUUUUUACACUUUCUCUUCUUCUUUGUU
rnacentral:misc_RNA from 1 species